AUUGAACGCUGGCGGCAGGCCUAACACAUGCAAGUCGAGCGGAUGAAGGGAGCUUGCUCCUGGAUUCAGCGGCGGACGGGUGAGUAAUGCCUAGGAAUCUGCCUUGUAGUGGGGUAUAACGUCCGUAAACGGGCGCUAAUACCGCAUACGUCCUGAUGGAGAAAGUGGUGGAUCUUCGGACCUCACGCUAUCAGAUGAGCCUAGGUCGGAUUAGCUAGUUGGUGGGGUAAAGGCCUACCAAGGCGACGAUCCGUAACUGGUCUGAGAGGAUGAUCAGUCACACUGGAACUGAGACACGGUCCAGACUCCUACGGGAGGCAGCAGUGGGGAAUAUUGGACAAUGGGCGAAAGCCUGAUCCAGCCAUGCCGCGUGUGUGAAGAAGGUCUUCGGAUUGUAAAGCACUUUAAGUUGGGAGGAAGGGCAGUAAGUUAAUAUCUUGAUGUUUUGACGUUACCAACAGAAUAAGCCACGGCUAACUUCGUG
rnacentral:rRNA from 1 species